GACGAACGCUGGCGGCGUGCCUAAUACAUGCAAGUCGAGCGCAGGAAACUGACGGAACUCUUCGGAGGGAAGGCAGUGGAAUGAGCGGCGGACGGGUGAGUAACACGUAAGGAACCUGCCUCGAGGAUUGGGAUAACUCCGAGAAAUCGGAGCUAAUACCGGAUAGUUCAACGGACCGCAUGGUCCGCUGAUGAAAGGCGCUCCGGCGUCACCUUGAGAUGGCCUUGCGGUGCAUUAGCUAGUUGGUGGGGUAACGGCCCACCAAGGCGACGAUGCAUAGCCGACCUGAGAGGGUGAUCGGCCACACUGGGACUGAGACACGGCCCAGACUCCUACGGGAGGCAGCAGUAGGGAAUCUUCCACAAUAGACGAAAGUCUGAUGGAGCAACGCCGCGUGAGUGAUGAAGGUUUUCGGAUCGUAAAACUCUGUUGUAAGGGAAGAACACGUACGAGAGGGAAUGCUCGUACCUUGACGGUACCUUACGAGAAAGCCACGGCUAACUACGUGCCAGCCGCCGCAGUAA
rnacentral:rRNA from 1 species